rnacentral:rRNA from 1 species
CCCAGACUCCUACGGGAGGCAGCAGUGGGGAAUAUUGGGCAAUGGGCGCAAGCCUGACCCAGCAACGCCGCGUGAAGGAAGAAGGCUUUCGGGUUGUAAACUUCUUUUAUCAGGGACGAAGCAAGUGACGGUACCUGAUGAAUAAGCCACGGCUAACUACGUGCCAGCAGCCGCGGUAAUACGUAGGUGGCAAGCGUUAUCCGGAUUUACUGGGUGUAAAGGGCGUGUAGGCGGGAGUGCAAGUCAGAUGUGAAAACUAUGGGCUCAACCCAUAGCCUGCAUUUGAAACUGUACUUCUUGAGUGCUGGAGAGGCAAUCGGAAUUCCGUGUGUAGCGGUGAAAUGCGUAGAUAUACGGAGGAACACCAGUGGCGAAGGCAGCAUACCGGCUCCACACUGACGCUGAGGCACGAAAGCGUGGGGAUCGAACAGGAUUAGAUACCCCAGUA